UUGCUGCAACUGCUCUGGCUUGGCCACACAUCCCUCUCGAUCUGCAUCACAUCCCGCUCUGCAGCGCGGCCGCCGCCGCCGCCGCAACCAAGCCCGCAUGAGGCCCUUUACACCUGCGAGUCCUCCCCCUCUGGUUGAUCGCUGCCGCUGAUAACCGCCCGCCCGCUCCCCGAUGGAUUGAUGGACGGCCGCCGGGCUGCAGCCAUGCUCGUGGAUCCACAACCGCAAGCACCUGUGCGACCCACGACAGUGGCACUUCCAGCAUCCUCGGCGGCGGGGCCUUGGGCUUGCUCGUCACGGUGGUGAUGCCUAGCCCGACGUCCCGACCUCAGUGGCACCUCCGGAGAGGUGCUCUGGGCCGACGCGGACGGGCCCUCUGGCGACUUCACAGGCGAGCGGAACAGCAUCCACGGAGGCCACAACACCUCCUCUCCCUCCUACCGUCCUGCCCCCGUCCACCAUGGCCUUCGAAAAUUCUGGCGAGGUCAACACAGAUGACGGGCUCAACAUGUUUGAUGAAAUGCCCCAAGGUGUAUGCCACAGAUCAGCGCACACAAGAAAUCAUUUUCCAUUACCAGAAUGAAUGCCCCCUACCCUGAGGUUUUAUUUCAUGGGGGAUGUCUUAUAUGGUCAUUGGAGAAGUAACAACCUUUGGGUGUACUGAGUACCAAACAGAAACACAUAAUGUCAUGGGUAUCAUUGAAAAUAGAUUAGACCGAACUUAAGUCUUACUCUCACAUAAGGAACAUCUUUCAGAUUUGCCUCUCAGCAAAAGGUUACCUCGAAUUUCAGUCAGCCUUCCUUCAAAUGACAUGGUAAAUAUGAGUACCACUAUUCUACUUUCUAUCUAGUGCCACAUGGAGAUUGACUAACUCUACUUAUAUGAACAAUGAUAUCAGCAUGGCUGGGGAGGUAUUAUAUUAAGUUUGAUAUUUUUUUCAAAUUUCUUAAUAUAUAAUAUAGUCGAUCACCUGUUGAUCGUGCUAAAGGGGUAUUAGUUGCAUAGCCUUCGAGUUGUGUAUGAUAUAGUUGAUUUUUUAAUAUGUAAUAUUACAAGUAGCUUAAUUUUUCUACAUAGUUUGAAUUGAUACAUAUUAAAGCUAUAUUUGUGAAUGCAGGUUGAAAUGACAAUGAUUGAAUUCUUAUGUUUGUAUGCAUUCAAGAAUGGAUCAAGAAAUAAUGAAUAUUAGAAUUUCUUGAUACUGAUGCUUAAUUUUUUAUUUUCACUGAUACAGACUUUGUACACCACUACAAUGUAUAUUUUCUCUGUACAAAUAUACUUUUAUGUAUACUAUAUACAUUCAAUUCCUUUCUACAAUCAAUGUACCUUCUUGUGAUUAUUGAAAAUUAUAAUUUUGUGUGAUUGUGCAAAA